AGAGUUUGAUCAUGGCUCAGAAUCAACGCUGGCGGCGUGCCUCAGACAUGCAAGUCGAACGCGAAAGUCCCCUUCGGGGGACUAGUAGAGUGGCGCACGGGUGAGUAACACGUAGGUAAUCUACCUUCGGAUGGGGAAUAACAAUCGGAAACGGUUGCUAAUACCGCAUAAUGCAGCGGCACCUAAUGGUGACAGUUGUUAAAGCGGGGGAUCGAAAGACCUCGCGUCUGAAGAGGAGCCUGCGGCGGAUUAGCUAGUUGGUAGGGUAACGGCCUACCAAGGCUACGAUCCGUAGCCGGCCUGAGAGGGCGGUCGGCCACACUGACACUGACAUACGGGUCAGACUCCUACGGGAGGCAGCAGUCGGGAAUUUUGGGCAAUGGGCGAAAGCCUGACCCAGCAACGCCGCGUGAAGGAUGAAAUCCCUCGGGAUGUAAACUUCGCAAGAACGGGAAGAAUAAGUAGGGGACAAUACCCCCUAUGAUGACGGUACCGUUUGUAAGCUCCGGCUAACUCCGUGCCAGCAGCCGCGGUAAUACGGGGGGAGCAAGCGUUGUUCGGAUUUACUGGGCGUAAAGGGCGCGUAGGCGGCCUCCGCAAGUCAAUUGUGAAAUCUCCGAGCUU
rnacentral:rRNA from 1 species